GAUUCAACUAUACUGAAAAGAUUCAGAAAAGGAAUUAGGGCAACGUCUCAUCUCUUGGAGGCUGUUUAGUAGAAAUUCAUAAAAGUCCCUCACUAGAUCAAGGAGUUUUUUUGUUAAUUAAUAUGAGUGGAAGAUCUUGGUGCACACGAUCCUGGAAGACACCUGGCCAAGCAUGAAAUGGAUGGGAACCAAUGACAAUUAUAUUCAACUGAUGUUGUGAGAAUACUAUUCUCUGACAGAAAUUCUCAUCUGUAUCUCA
rnacentral:lncRNA from 1 species